rnacentral:rRNA from 1 species
AGAGUUUGAUUAUGGCUCAGGAUGAACGCUGGCGGCGUGCUUAACACAUGCAAGUCGAACGGAGUUUUUAAACGGAAGUUUUCGGAUGGAAGUUUAGAAACUUAGUGGCGGACGGGUGAGUAACGCGUGGGUAACCUGCCUCAUACAGGGGGAUAACAGUUAGAAAUGACUGCUAACACCGCAUAAUAUAGCGAAACCGCAUGAUUUUGCUAUCAAAUAUUUAUAGGUAUGAGAUGGGCCCGCGUCUGAUUAGCUAGUUGGUGGGGUAAAGGCCUACCAAGGCGACGAUCAGUAGCCGGCUUGAGAGAGUGACCGGCCACAUUGGGACUGAGACACGGCCCAAACUCCUACGGGAGGCAGCAGUGGGGAAUAUUGGACAAUGGGGGAAACCCUGAUCCAGCCGACGCCGCGUGAGUGAAGAAGUAUUUCGGUAUGUAAAGCUCUAUCAGCAGGGAAGAUAAUGACAGUACCUGACUAAGAAGCCCCGGCUAACUACGUGCCAGCCGCCGC